CCUACGGGAGGCUGCAGUGGGGAAUAUUGGACAAUGGGGGGAACCCUGAUCCAGCCAUGCCGCGUGUGUGAAGAAGGCCCUCGGGUUGUAAAGCACUUUCAGUGAGGAAGAACGCCUGGUGGUUAAUACCCAUCAGGAAAGACAUCACUCACAGAAGAAGCACCGGCUAACUCCGUGCCAGCAGCCGCGGUAAUACGGAGGGUGCGAGCGUUAAUCGGAAUUACUGGGCGUAAAGCGCGCGUAGGUGGCUUGAUAAGCCGGUUGUGAAAGCCCCGGGCUCAACCUGGGAACGGCAUCCGGAACUGUCAAGCUAGAGUGCAGGAGAGGAAGGUAGAAUUCCCGGUGUAGCGGUGAAAUGCGUAGAGAUCGGGAGGAAUACCAGUGGCGAAGGCGGCCUUCUGGACUGACACUGACACUGAGGUGCGAAAGCGUGGGUAGCAAACAGGAUUAGAUACCUCAGUAGUC
rnacentral:rRNA from 1 species